rnacentral:rRNA from 1 species
UGCCAUCAGCCGCGGUAAUACGGAGGGAGCGAGCGUUAAUCGGAAUUACUGGGCGUAAAGCGCGCGUAGGCGGCUUUGUAAGUCGGAUGUGAAAGCCCUGGGCUCAACCUGGGAAUGGCAUUCGAUACUGCCAGACUAGAGUAUGGGAGAGGGAAGUGGAAUUUCCGGUGUAGCGGUGAAAUGCGUAGAUAUCGGAAGGAACACCAGUGGCGAAGGCGACUUCCUGGCCCAAUACUGACGCUGAGGUGCGAAAGCGUGGGGAGCGAACAGGAUUAGAUA